rnacentral:sRNA from 1 species
CAUACUUACCCCAUACCUUCUGGAUCACCUUAUUGGAUGCUUUUUAUCAAAGCCUGGUCUGCUUCUUUGUGCCUUAUUUUACCUACCAGGGCUCAGAUAUUGACAUCUUUGCAUUUGGAAACCCCCUGAACACAGCUGCUCUGUUCAUCAUUCUCCUCCAUCUGGUCAUUGAAAGCAAGAGUUUGACCAGGUGCAGUGACUCACACCUGCAAUUCCAGAGCUUUGGGAGGCUGAGGUGGGAGGAUCACCUGAAGCUAAGAGUUCAAGACCAGCCUGGGCAACAUAGUGAGACCCUGUCUCUACAAAAAAACAACAAAACUAACUGUGUGUCAUGGCACCUGCCAGCAGUCUCAGCCACUUGGGAGACUGAGGAGGAGGCUCACUUGAGCCCAACAGUUGGAGGCUGCAGUAAGCUAUGAUCAUGCCACUGCACUCCAGCUUGGGAAACAGAGAGAAACCCUGUCUCUAAAAACAAAAAAAUGUGAUUAUUUUAUUCAUGUUUGUCUUCCGCAUUAGACUAUGCUCUCUGUGAGGGUAGGGCUCAUGCCUAUUUUGUUCACCACUGUAUACCAGUGUUAAAGGACAAGACUGGCACACAGCAGGUGCUCAAAAAAUAUUUGAAUGGAUAAAUAAAUGAUUA